ensembl:lncRNA
CUGCCACACUUUUAGGAAGACUCAUCUGUAGACAAAGCCUACAUUUCUUUACUGUUCCCUCAUCUGCAGAUUUUUGGGUCCCAUUACACAGGGGGACAAAGGAAACCUACCUGUGCCUAUUAAUGGGAAGAGAGUGAAUCUCAAAAUGAAAAAAUCAUCUGUGACUUCAAAGAGAAAGAGCUGACAGCAAGAUAUUUGAAUUAAUUAAAGAAAUACAAUGCUGUUCGUUGGAAGGGCGAGCACUAAGGAGAGAGAACGCCUCACUCGCUGGGCCUUUCUGAGACCCAAAGUCACAGCUUGGCCAUCAGACACCAUCUGCUACUUCUAGCUGCCUGCUGCUCUGCACCUUCAACCCGAGGUGAGCACUUGCUGCAGGCAGAAAGUUCAUUAGGAACAGCAUGGUUUCUCCUAUGGUAGAGAAGGUAGUCAUCAUUAAAUUACUUAUGAAAUGUUCACCUAGCCUAUCUAGCAAAAACUACUCAAUCCAUAGAAUUUAAGCAUCAAUUUAGUAUAACUAAGUCUAUAGUAAAACUCUCUUUUACUUUUUAAAAUAAAAUU